AGUGAACGCUGGCGGUAGGCCUAACACAUGCAAGUCGAACGGCAGCACAGUAAGAGCUUGCUCUUACGGGUGGCGAGUGGCGGACGGGUGAGGAAUACAUCGGAAUCUACUUUUUCGUGGGGGAUAACGUAGGGAAACUUACGCUAAUACCGCAUACGACCUACGGGUGAAAGCAGGGGAUCUUCGGACCUUGCGCGAUUGAAUGAGCCGAUGUCGGAUUAGCUAGUUGGCGGGGUAAAGGCCCACCAAGGCGACGAUCCGUAGCUGGUCUGAGAGGAUGAUCAGCCACACUGGAACUGAGACACGGUCCAGACUCCUACGGGAGGCAGCAGUGGGGAAUAUCGGACAAUGGGCGCAAGCCUGAUCCAGCCAUACCGCGUGGGUGAAGAAGGCCUUCGGGUUGUAAAGCCCUUUUGUUGGGAAAGAAAGGCAGCAGGUUAAUACCCCGCUGUUCUGACGGUACCCAAAGAAUAAGCACCGGCUAACUUCGUG
rnacentral:rRNA from 1 species